AAGGAUCGGCCCGCGUUGGAUUAGGUAGUUGGUGGGGUAAUGGCCUACCAAGCCGACGAUCCAUAGCUGGUUUGAGAGGAUGAUCAGCCACACUGGGACUGAGACACGGCCCAGACUCCUACGGGAGGCAGCAGUGGGGAAUCUUAGACAAUGGGGGAAACCCUGAUCUAGCCAUGCCGCGUGAGCGAUGAAGGCCUUAGGGUUGUAAAGCUCUUUCGUGGGGGAAGAUAAUGACUGUACCCCAAGAAGAAGCCCCGGCUAACUCCGUGCCAGCAGCCGCGGUAAUACGGAGGGGGCUAGCGUUGUUCGGAAUUACUGGGCGUAAAGCGCACGUAGGCGGACUGGAAAGUCAGGGGUGAAAUCCCGGGGCUCAACCCCGGAACUGCCUUUGAAACUCCCGGUCU
rnacentral:rRNA from 1 species